UCCAAACCGUGUUUUUGUUGUACCCUGAAUCAUUAUGGUACACCUAGAUAAGUGUUUAUAUUCGGACUAUUUUAGACCAGUCUGGUAGGAAACCGCUGCGGAGUAGCACAAAUACCUGCGUGAUUCGUCAUAGACAUAAACAGAGAGAAGUAGCUCCGGCUACAAUGUUCUUCCGCAAGAUGCAUGCAGUUCUGUUUAACCGUUAGAGCGCCAAAAGUUAUGGACAUGUUUAUAUUAUAUGUUGUGUUUGUGAAUGAAGGAGAUUUAUUGGAUGGGGCACGCGCGAGACAAAUUCGAAAUUUUAAAUGAGCAAGUCUAACGGACUUUCGGAGAAUCUUGAGUACUGCGCAUGCGCAUCAUUUUGUUCUGUAACGGUCGACUUCCAGCAGACGGACACGGAGUAAAAGCAGCUGGAGGAGAGACAGCCUGUGCAGCAACAACAAGACAACAAUGAUUAUAAGCAGGGAUAAUCUCCAGGUGGACUGCACGGGUCCAGGAUCAAGAGAUCAUUCAUCAUGCAGACCAUGUUCCAGGAGAAGCAGCGUAUACUGGGUCUGCUUGAUCAUUUUGUUGUCCUGGAUGUGAGAACAUGGUCAAAAGGUGUGUCAAUCAGUGUCCAGCCAUGAAAGCAGCCUUCUCAUUAAAGGGUUAGUUCUCCCA